rnacentral:rRNA from 1 species
AAAAAACUCUGAGACGUGAUACCGAGCCGCUUCAGGCGAAGUCAUUGAUCCUAUGCUGCCUAGAAAAGCCCAGCAGCGAGUUGACAUGGUGCCCGUACCCCAAACCAACACAGGUGGACAGGUAGAGCAUACCAAGGCGAGUGGGAUAACUAUGGUUAAGGAACUCGGCAAAUUGCCUCCGUAACUUCGGGAGAAGGAGGACCCCAGUAGCGUGAUGAGACUUGCUCUCUGAGCGUGAAGGGGUGGCACAAAAUUGAGGGAAGCGACUGUUUACCAAAAACACAGCAGCGUGCUAAGCCGUAAGGCGCUGUAUACGCUGUGACUCCUGCCCGGUGCUGGAAGGUUACGGGGAUGGGUUAGUCCUUCGGGACGAAGCUCUGAACCUAAGCCCCAGUAAACGGCGGCCGUAACUAUAACGGUCCUAAGGUAGCGAAAUUCCUUGUCGGGUAAGUUCCGACCUGCACGAAUGGAGUAACGACUUCCCUACUGUCUCAACCAUAGACCCAGCGAAAUUGAAGUACGAGUAAAGAUGCUCGUUAGCUGCAGAAGGACGGAAAGACCCCGUGGACCUUUACUAUAACUUGAUGUUGUGUUUUGUCAUAUGUUGUGUAGGAUAGGUGGGAGACUUGGAAGCAUGGACGCUAGUCUGUGUGGAGUCAUCGUUGAAAUACCACCCUGCAUAUGGUGAGGCUCUAACCUAGACCCGUUAUCCGGGUUGGGGACAGCGUCAGGCGGGUAGUUUAACUGGGGCGGUUGCCUCCUAAAGAGUAACGGAGGCGCCUAAAGGUUCCCUCAGCCUGGUUGGCAAUCAGGCGUUGAGUGCAAUGGCAAAAGGGAGCUUGACUGCGAGACCUACAAGUCGAGCAGGAGCGAAAGCUGGGCAUAGUGAUCCGGCGGUUGCGUGUAGAAGCGCCGUCGCUCAACGGAUAAAAGGUACCCCGGGGAUAACAGGCUAAUCUUGCCCAAGCGUCCAUAGCGACGGCAAGGUUUGGCACCUCGAUGUCGGCUCAUCGCAUCCUGGGGCUGAAGCAGGUCCCAAGGGUUGGGCUGUUCGCCCAUUAAAGCGGUACGCGAGCUGGGUUCAGAACGUCGUGAGACAGUUCGGUCCCUAUCCUCUGCAGCCGGAGGUGAAUUGAGGAAAGCUGUCCCUAGUACGAGAGGACCGGGACGGACGCAGCUCUCGUGUGCCAGUUGUCCUGCCAAGGGCAUGGCCGGUUAGCGACCUGCGGAA